UACGUAGGGUGCGAGCGUUAAUCGGAAUUACUGGGCGUAAAGGGCUCGUAGGUGGCCAACUAAGUCAGACGUGAAAUCCCUCGGCUUAACCGGGGAACUGCGUCUGAUACUGGUUGGCUUGAGUUUGGGAGAGGGAUGCGGAAUUCCAGGUGUAGCGGUGAAAUGCGUAGAUAUCUGGAGGAACACCGGUGGCGAAGGCGGCAUCCUGGACCAACACUGACGCUGAGGAGCGAAAGCCAGGGGAGCAAACGGG
rnacentral:rRNA from 1 species